CAGCAGUCGCCGCGGGAAUACGGAGGGUGCAAGCGUUAAUCGGAAUUACUGGGCGUAAAGCGCACGCAGGCGGUCUGUCAAGUCAGAUGUGAAAUCCCCGGGCUUAACCUGGGAACUGCAUUUGAAACUGGCAGGCUAGAGUCUUGUAGAGGGGGGUAGAAUUCCAGGUGUAGCGGUGAAAUGCGUAGAGAUCUGGAGGAAUACCGGUGGCGAAGGCGGCCCCCUGGACAAAGACUGACGCUCAGGUGCGAAAGCGUGGGGAGCAAACAGGAUCAGAGACCCGCGUAGUCCCUGUCUCUUAUAC
rnacentral:rRNA from 1 species